rnacentral:misc_RNA from 1 species
AGCAGCCGCGGUAAUUCCAGCUCCAAUAGCGUAUAUUAAAGUUGUUGCAGUUAAAAAGCUCGUAGUUGAAUUUCGGGGUUAGUAGGUUGGUCAUGCCUCUGGUAUGUACUGGUCUCACUGAUUCCUCCUUCCUGAUGAACCUUAAUGCCAUUAAUUUGGUGUUUUGGGGAAUUUGGACUGUUACUUUGAAAAAAUUAGAGUGUUUAAAGCAAGCUAACGCUUGAAUACAUUAGCAUGGAAUAAUGAAAUAGGACGUUCGAUCCUAUUUUGUUGGUUUCUAGGAUUGACGUAAUGAUUAAUAGGGAUAGUUGGGGGCAUUAGUAUUCAAUUGUCAGAGGUGAAAUUCUUGGAUUUAUUGAAGACUAACUACUGCGAAAGCAUUUGCCAAGGAUGUUUUCAUUAAUCAAGAACGAAAGUUAGGGGAUCGAAGACGAUCAGAUACCGUCGUAGUCUUAACCAUAAACUAUGCCGACUAGGGAUCGGAUGAUGUUAAUUUUUUAAUGACUCGUUCGGCGCCUUA